AUGUGGAGAGAAUGGUUCAAAAUCGAAGCCUUUUAAGGUGUUGUUCUUUUUAAUGUUUAUGUAAUUUGGUGUAAAUUUGCUUUUGAUGAUUGUGGGAAAUGUGACUUGCUCGUUUUAGUUGGUGUUGAGGGGUGAGGUGGAAGGGAAGACUGAUGGUGGUGGUGGUGGUCGUGUGGAGGCGAUGCGGCAUUUUUGUGUUCCUAAUGGUAAGUUACUGAAGACGUUUCGGCUUUUGAAUGUGCAAGGACUGCCCCCGUGGGCGAAUACCUCGUGUGUUUCUAACUUUAAAGGAUGUGAUUCAGGGAGACAUCCUUUUUGCUGUCCUUUCCAAUUACAUGGUAGCCCUUGAUUGGCUGAUACCUGUGGCCGGGUUUUCUGUUAAUUUGCCUACCCUGGGAACCUUCAAUAUAAAUCCUCACUAUGUCACCAUUUGCUCCAACCAUCCAUCAGUUGUUAUUUGCGGAUGAUAGCUUUCUGUUUGGAGAAGCUUCUGUUAGAGAGUGUCAGGCUAUCAAGAAUAUUCUCUCCAUUUAUGCCAGAGCUUCAGGGUAGAAGAUUAAUCUAGAGAAGUCUAGUGUGGUGUUUGGUAGUAAUGUGGGCUUGCAUUCGAGGAAUCACCUGGCAGCCAUUCUUGGAGUUAAAUGUGUGAAGGAACAUGGGUUAUACCUUGGUCUACCAAUACAUGUGGGGCAUAAUAAAGCAGUCAUUUUUGCUUAUUUGAAGGAAAGACUCACUAAGAAACUGAUAAGUUGGAGAUCUAAGAUUCUUAGUGCAGGAGGGAAAGAGCUUCUUCUCAAAGUCGUUGCUCAAGUUCUUCCGAAUUAUGUCAUGAAUUGAUACUUGCUUCCCAAUUAAGUCCCUUUGUGACGACCUACAGCAACUCUGUGCCUAAUUUUUUUGGGGAAGCACUGAUGAAAAAAGGAAGAUUCAUUGGAGAUCGUGGGAAAGAAUGUGUCUUCCAAAGGAGCAGGGUGGUUUAGGAUUUAAACAUCUUUAUGCUCAUAACCUCGCCAUGUUAUCGAAACAAGGGUGGAGGUUUUUGUCCAACCCUACAUCACUUGUAGCUCGAGUUUUUAAGGCUAUCUACUACCCUAAUGGCUCGUUUCUUACAACUGAUUUGGGCGAUAGACCAUCCUAUUCUUGGAGAAGUAUUCUGGAAGCCAGAUCAACGCUACAAGCUACUAUUUUUUGGAGAAUUGGCAAUGGAACCUCUGUUAAUAUAUGGACUAAUGAUUGGAUUCCCAAUGUUGCAGCCCACUCAAUAUCUAGACCGUUCGACACUGUUUUUGAACUUGUUGCUGACUUGCUAGAUCCUAGUACUGGAUCAUGGGACCAUGCUGCAGUUCAUGCAUGUUUUGCACCUGAUAUUGACAUGCAUAUUUUGACUAUUCCCUUAAGUAGACGCUUUGGGGCAGACAAGAUUGCUUGGAAAGUUUGACAAGAAAGGUUGGUUUUCGGUUAAAUCUACAUACAAGGUGGCUCGUGCGUUUUCCAUUGGCCACAUUUUUGCUUCAACAUCAAAUGGAGACCCGUAUGCUCAGCUUUGGAAGGCUUUGUGGAAGGCCAAAGUUCCCAACAAGGUGGCCAUUUUUGGAUGGCGUGCCGCUCACAAUCUUCUUCCUACUAGGGUGGCAUUGACAGCGAAGGGGUAUACCGGUGAGGUUAGUUGUGUUGUGUGUUCCCAAGGUGCAGAAUCGCUUGAACAUCUUUUCUGUGACUGUUUGAUAGCCCGAGAUAUUUGGAGUGCCCCUCCUUUCGUGAUCUCUCCUUCUAGUUUAUCGUGGAAGGACUGGUUGUUGGCAAGGGCUAGUUCUCUGUCUUCAACCCUCUUUGAUAAGUUACUUGUUCUUUUAUGGAGUCUGUGGAGAAACCGAAAUGGAAUUUUAUGGAGGAAUCAGUCUCAACCUAGCUCUUGCCUUGUGGCUAAUGCUCUAGCUUGGUAUGAGGAAUUUCUACAAGCAAACAUGUGUGGGACUCCUUCUCAGGGCCGUCACUAGUUGAGUAAGAAGUGGAAACCCCCUGCUGGGAUGUUUUGAAAUUGAACGUUGAUGGAGCCUAUUUACCUCAAGUUCCCUAUGGGGGUACAAGGGGAGUGCUUCGUAAUAUGCAAGGGCGCGCAGUUUCUAGCUGCUUUCGUUCAUAGGGUGGAUUAUAUCAGCUCUCCUCUUCACUCUAAGCUGAUGGCUUUGAAGCAAGGCGUGCAAUUCUUACACUCCAUGCAUGUAACGAGGGCAGUGAUCGAAAGUGAUUGCCAGGUAGCAGUAGCAGCUCUUACCAGUGAGCAGGUUGACCUCUCUCAACUCAGUGCUUUAAUUGCUGAAGUUAAGGAUCUGUUAACUCCAAACGCAGGUAUUAGUAUCCAGUUUGUUCCCAGGCAGGGCUAAUAAUGUCGCUCAUAGGCUUGCUAGUCAUGGUUUUGAGUUUAAUGUCAAUCAUGAGUGGGUUGUAAAUGCUCCAGAACUUCUCCUGGAUGCUCUU